rnacentral:rRNA from 1 species
CAGUAGCCACGGUAAUACGUAGGGUGCGAGCGUUAAUCGGAAUUACUGGGCGUAAAGCGAGCGCAGACGGUUAUUUAAGCAGGAUGUGAAAUCCCCGGGCUUAACCUGGGAACUGCGUUCUGAACUGGAUAGCUAGAGUGUGUCAGAGGGGGGUAGAAUUCCACGUGUAGCAGUGAAAUGCGUAGAGAUGUGGAGGAAUACCGAUGGCGAAGGCAGCCCCCUGGGAUAACACUGACGUUCAUGCUCGAAAGCGUGGGUAGCAAACAGGAUUAGAUACCCCUGUAGUCCCUGUCUCUUAUAC